AACGAACGCUGGCGGCAUGCCUAACACAUGCAAGUCGAACGAGACCUUCGGGUCUAGUGGCGCACGGGUGCGUAACGCGUGGGAACCUGCCCUUAGGUUCGGAAUAACUCCCCGAAAGGGGUGCUAAUACCGGAUAAUGUCUUCGGACCAAAGAUUUAGCGCCUUUGGAUGGGCCCGCGUUGGAUUAGCUAGUUGGUAGGGUAAAAGCCUACCAAGGCGACGAUCCAUAGCUGGUCUGAGAGGAUGAUCAGCCACACUGGGACUGAGACACGGCCCAGACUCCUACGGGAGGCAGCAGUGGGGAAUAUUGGACAAUGGGCGAGAGCCUGAUCCAGCAAUGCCGCGUGAGUGAUGAAGGCCUUAGGGUUGUAAAGCUCUUUUACCCGGGAUGAUAAUGACAGUACCGGGAGAAUAAGCUCCGGCUAACUCCGU
rnacentral:rRNA from 1 species